UACGUAGGGGGCAAGCGUUGUCCGGAAUUAUUGGGCGUAAAGCGCGCGCAGGCGGUCAUUUAAGUCUGGUGUUUAAUCCCGGGGCUCAACCCUCGGACAGGCGGUGGAAACUACCAAGCUGGAGUACGGUAGGGGCAGAGGGAAUUUCCGGUGGAGCGGUGAAAUGCGUAGAGAUCGGAAAGAACACCAACGGCGAAAGCAACUCUGCUGGGCCGACACUGACACUGAGAGACGAAAGCUAGGGGAGCGAAUGG
rnacentral:rRNA from 1 species